rnacentral:rRNA from 1 species
AGAGUUUGAUCAUGGCUCAGAACGAACGCUGGCGGCAGGCCUCAAACAUGCAAGUCUAGCGGGCGUAGCAAUACGUCAGCGGCGGACGGGUGCGUAACACGUGGGAACGUACCCUUUGGUUCGGAACAACGCAGGGAAACUUGCGCUAAUACCGGAUGUGCCCGAAAGGGGAAAGAUUUAUCGCCAAAGGAUCGGCCCGCGUUCGAUUAGCUUGUUGGUGAGGUAAUGGCUCACCAAGGCAACGAUCGAUAGCUGGUCUGAGAGGACGAUCAGCCACACUGGGACUGAGACACGGCCCAGACUCCUACGGGAGGCAGCAGUUGGGAAUCUUGGACAAUGGAGGAAACUCUGAUCCAGCCAUGCCGCGUGAGUGAUGAAGGCCUUCGGGUUGUAAAACUCUUUCGACGGGGACGAUAAUGACGGUACCCGUAGAAGAAGCUCCGGCUAACUUCGUGCCAGCAGCCGCGGUAAUACGAAGGGGGGCUAGCGUUGUUCGGAAUUACUGGGCGUAAAGCGCGCGCAGGCGGCCAAUCAAGUCAGGGGUGAAAGCCCGGAGCUCAACUCCGGAACUGCCUUUGAAACUGUUUGGCUUGAGUACGGGAGAGGUGAGUGGAAUUCCCAGUGUAGAGGUGAAAUUCGUAGAUAUUGGGAAGAACACCGGUGGCGAAGGCGGCUCACUGGCCCGUUACUGACGCUCAGGCGCGACAGCGUGGGGAUCAAACAGGAUUAGAUACCCUAGUAGUCC